UUUUCAUGUUAGUUCAGUGAGCUCACGCGCGUCGAACAACAAUCAUCGACAAUAGUACGAUUCAAAAAUCUUCGACGUCCAAAAAUGGCGUUUCUUGGAUAGUAUAUUGUCACAUUAAAAUUCGUUCUAGUUUUGUUAACAAGUGAAACAGGUCUUUGAAAGGAAAACGUGUAAACUAAGGAAUAUUGGAGAAACGAUUUCUUGAGAGUCCAUAUCCAGGAGAUUGCUUCGCAAAACAACGACAAACAAAAAUGGAAUCGACCGAACAAUUACGACCGGAAGAAUUGGUGGGAUUAGUAGCCCGAUCUGCUGAAGGUACAGCAGCGAAAGGAAUGCCUAUCAAAGGACACGAAGAUCUAUGGGUGGAAAUUCAAGCAAAUACUUUCCGAAAUUGGGUGAACGAGCACUUAAAACACGCGGUUGAUACUGCAAACAGUCCUGUGAUCGAUCUUGUUGAAGAUUUUCGGGACGGCACACGACUUUGUGCUCUCGUUGAAGUACUUACUAAACGACGUUUACCUCGAUGGAAUCCCAGACCUGCAAAUCAACAUCAUCAUUUAGAAAAUGUUUCAACAGCCCUUCAAGCUAUCGAAGCUGACGGUGUAAAACUUGUUAAUAUCGGUAAUGUAGACAUUGUCAAUGGUAAUUUGAAACUAAUUCUUGGACUGAUAUGGUCACUCAUUGUAAGGUACCAAAUAGGCAAGUCCAAGUUCCCUCCAAGGAAACUUAUGCUGGCAUGGCUCAAGACAGUUUUGCCAGAAUGUAGAGUCAACAAUUUCACCACAGAUUGGAAUUCUGGUGUAUAUCUGAGUGCCUUACUUGAUUAUUGUCAACCAGGACUAUUUCCUCAUUGGCGACGGCUUGAUCCAAAUGAUAGCGUUUACAAUUGCCGAAAAGCUAUGGAGAUUUCAAAACGUGAAUUCGAUAUACCUAUGGUAUUGGAACCAGAAUAUCUUGCAUCGCCAUAUUUGGAUGAAUUAUCGGGAAUGACCUACUUAUCGUACUUCAUGAAGGAAGGUUCACCAGGUUUUCAUGCAACAUUACGAUGGGUUAAUUCUCAAUUAUCUCAUCAUCCAGUACAAAACUUUACAACUGACUGGAAUGAUGGUAGAACUUUAUGUAGUAUUGUCAGGAAUUUAGGAGGAUCUGCUCCUGCUUAUGAUAAAAUCGAUAUCGAUCCUUCCACGUGGGAACAUAAUAUACAAAUGGGAAUUGAUGGAGGAAAAAAAUUAGGUGUGGAACCUAUUCUUAAAGCAAAAGAUAUGGCAGAUCAAAAUGUAGAACAUUUAGGCGUUAUGGCAUAUGCAGCAUGCUUUCAAUGGGUAAAGCCUCGCCCUCAAACAAGCAAACAAAUUGUUGUUCAUAUUGAUAGCACUUCUGCAAGAGUGCAACAGCCGGCGCAUUUCAAAUUAGAAAUUCUUACCAAAGAAGUAAAUACGAGAGAAGUGCGUGGUGAGAUAAUAAGUCCGAGCGGACGGAUAGAAUGUAGAUUAACAUGGAAUGGAGUUCAUGGAAAAGGAAUUUUUAUACCUAUAGAAGUUGGAAUGCAUAAGUUAAUGGUAUAUAAUGACGGAGAAUUAGUAGAUGGAUGUCCCUAUUAUUUCAGAGUUUUACCUCCCUUAACCAAAAUCAAAUCACCUGGUAUGGAUCCUUGUGCUAUAGGAUCUAUUGUUGAAGUUCUAGUCAAUAGUUACGGAACUAGUCAUGAUGGCAUUGAUGUUACUGCGUGGUCACCUACUGGAAGAUCAUUAUUGUGUCCUGUUAAAGAAAACGAUGGAGUACACACUGCAACCUUUCAACCUGAUGAGACGGGAGAAUGGAGUAUUGCAAUAACUCAUAAAGGAAAUCAUAUACAAGGUGGCCCAUUUACAUGUUUUGUAUUUGAUCCUAAUGGAAUAAAGCUAUUGGAAACGGAGGGUGCUUUACCUGGACAACCAUUUUCAUUUACUGUCGAUGCAACAGGAACUGGAGGUCUUGGCGACGUAAUAAUAGAUUUAGUUCAUGAUAAACAAUCAAUUCCUUUCAGAAUGGAAAAUUUUAGACAUAUGCAAUAUCGAGUUUCAUUUAUUCCAUCAGAAUCUGGAAAGUACAGAAUUUAUAUAUACUUUAAUGGUUCUGAUGUUAGAGGUUCUCCAUUUUCUAUUCGAGUGGGAACUCAAAAAGGAUCAAAAAGAUCAAAAGAAUCUAAUUUUGAUAAAACGAAAUUAUCUUCGCUAGAAAGGCGAAUGAAUGAUUUAAAUGUUUCAAUGGAAACCGAUCGAUCAAGUCCUCUCCUCAAGCAGAAAUCUUAUUCUCCCACUACAUAUAAAUUAUCUAGCCCAACUCAACAUAUACGUGAAUAUUCUCCUGUACAUCAAACUACCUCCACUUAUAAAACAUCGAAUUAUUUGGAAAAUUCUAAUUCGACGUAUCAUACAUCAACUUCGAUCAAUCGAUCUCCAAGUCACAGUAAUAGUCCAAUUUCACGAAAUCUUCAUAGUCCAUCUAUGGUUAAAGAUACGAAAGAAAUUUAUUCUACUACAUACAAUCAUUCAAGAUCUCCAACUGCACAAAGUCCUAAUUUUAUGAAAGAAUCAAAAGAUAUUUAUACAUCCAAUACAACAAGUACAUCUCGAUCUCCAAAUCCAAGUCCAAUACAUGGCUCAAGAUAUUCACCAGUUAUUAAAGAAUCACGUGAAAUUUAUAGUUCGGGAUCCUUAAAGAGAUCUCGGUCUCCAGAUCGAAAUUCAAUGGCAUAUCGAAGCGCGACACAAAGUCCUGUCAAUAGAAGUUUCAGUCCAAGAAACAAUGACAGAGAUAAUAGUUAUAAUAGAAAGGAUUUUACAGAUAAUGGAACAGUUGAUACCAGUAGUAAUGUUAGAGUAUCUUCGAUGGUUGGUGGAAGAUCUAGAAGAGAUUCAUGGGAUGCUAUAGAAAAAACAAAAUCUUUACUAUCUUAUGGUAGUUUAGAAUCUCUUGCUAAUUUAACUAAUAAUUCUGCUAUGGCUGAAAAUAAUUCAAAUUAUUUUAAUAACAAUUAUAAACAAGAUUAUAGUUCAAAAAACAUUUUGCAAACCUAUAAUAGUUCUUCCAAUUUGAUUCAGAAAGUUUCAACCUCAGAAUAUAACACAUCUCAAAAAUAUAACAAUGAAAAUCACAAUAUUCGCACGCAAACGCAUGGAAUUCUUAAAAAUAAAAAUAAUAAUUAUUAUAAAAACGUGGAUAUCACAGAUGGAGUUCAUGAACGGUAUAUUAAUAAUGUAAUUUCUAGUUCAUCAACACAAGAUAGGAAUUACGAAUUUGUAACUGGAAGUGCAUUAGAGACAUUACCGAUUCAUAAACCGACUACCUUUACAAUCGAUCAAAGUAUAGAUACGAAUAAAGUCACUGUUAAUGUUUGUGGUCCAAGUGGUAAAAUAAUUCCAGUACAAAAAUCAACUCUUCGAGGUUUAACGUAUUCAAUAACCGCUCAAGAAGUUGGAGAACAUAUUAUUCAAAUUUUAGUAAAUGGCCAACAUAUUCAAGGCUCACCUUUCAGAUCGCAAGCAUAUAAUGCUCAUGCUAUUCAAGUUGGGAACAUUCCGAAUGGCGUUGUCAAUCAACCAGUAGAAUUUGAAAUUGAUGGAUCCAAUGCCGGAUCUGGAAAUCUAGAAAUCCUUGUAAAUGGUGGUCAUGUAACUAGUUUUGUUAGAGCAUUGGGUAGUCAACGAUUUCUGGCAUCAUUUGUACCUCAUGAAGCUGUUGUACAUCUCGUAGAAAUGACGUUCAAUGGUGAAGUUGUUCCUGGGUCACCCUGGCGUGUGGGCAUUAUGCCAGUACCAAAAAUGUCAGUGAUUGGAGAUUCCAUAAGAUUGGUCCCUGCUGGUAGUCCAGCAUUUUUUGAACUUUCUGCUCUUGGCUUUAAUAGUAAUGAAAUUGAUGUACAAAUUAUAACACCUUCUAAAAGAUAUAUACAGGCAAAAAUUGAUGAAGUAUCAGGAAGACCUGGAGAAUUUCGUGUUGAAUUCACUCCAAUAGAAGUAGGUAGUCAUCUUGUAGAAGUAACCAUUGCUGGACAAAAGCUACCGGCAGGACCACUAGUUGCUAAAGUGUACAACAGCAGUUUGAUUCAAGUUACUGAUGUCCCCAGUGCUGUUGUAGGACAUGCCUGUCAAUUUAGAGUUGAUGCUAGUGCUGCUGGUGAAGGACAACUUGAAAUUUCUAUAAAUGAAGGAGAAGUACCAAAUCAUGUUCAAGUAGUUGGAGGAGGACGUUGUCUUGUUUCUUUUACACCAGAAACUGCUAAAUCACAUUAUAUUGAUAUAAAAUUUAAUGGAGAAGCUGUGAAAGGAUGUCCCUUUAUUUGUAAUGUAUCUGAUACUAGUAGAGUAACAUUAAGUUUAAAUCAUCUGGAAUUAAUUCCAGUGGAUCAACCUGCUAGUUUUCAUAUGGGUGUUGAUGGUAGUGGUAAUGCAGAACUUGCAGUUUCUGUAAAAGGACCAAAUUGUGAAUUGCCUGUCAAGGUAACUGGAGAUAUAAAAAAUGGUUUUACUGCAGAAUUUAUUCCAAGAGAUGUUGGUGUUCAUUCAAUUAGUGUUGAAUAUAAUGGACAUGCUGUAAAUGGUACACCAUUUUUAGCAAAGGCAUUUAAUGCAGAUAAAGUAUUAAUUGGUCCUGUAGCUAGAGGUAGUGUUGGCCAACCAACACAUUUUACUGUUGAUGCAAGUCAAGCUGGUGAAGGAAAUUUAGAAAUUACGAUAUCGGCUCGUAAUCAAAACAUACCUACUCAAGUCACACCACAAGGAAAUGCUCGAUUUUCAGUUAGUUUUGUUCCAUUUGAAGCGUGCGAGCAUAUAAUUAAUAUAGCCUUCAAUAAACGAACAGUACCAGGUUGCCCAAUUAUAACUCGAGUAGGUGGUGAUAGUCAUGUAACAGUGAGUGGGCAGGCAUUAAGCAGUGCUGGAUUAGGACGACAAAGUUAUCUUACUAUCAGUAAUGUUGCCGGUAGCUUGGAAGAUUUAGAAGUUAAUGUUGAAGGUCGGCCAGCUUUCAGACUACGACAUUACUAGACUUCUCAAACACAACUAAUUUCAUUUUAAUUAAUUAAUGGAUUAUAUAACUGGUGGACCCAAUGGACAGGCCGUACCCGCUCAAGUCACUGACAACAAAGAUACAACAUGCAGUGUAGCAUUUACACCAAGAAUAGUUGGAGAACAUAGAAUUUCAGUAAGUCAUCGGAAUGUUCCCGUGAUUGGCAGUCCAUUUAGCUGCAAAGUAUAUGAUGUGACUGCUAUUAAAGUGAAG
rnacentral:misc_RNA from 1 species